AUUGAACGCUGGCGGCAUGCCUUACACAUGCAAGUCGAACGGCAGCACGGGAGCAAUCCUGGUGGCGAGUGGCGAACGGGUGAGUAAAGUAUCGGAACGUGCCCAGUCGUGGGGGAUAACGUAGCGAAAGUUACGCUAAUACCGCAUACGAUCUAUGGAUGAAAGCGGGGGAUCGCAAGACCUCGCGCGAUUGGAGCGGCCGAUAUCAGAUUAGGUAGUUGGUGGGGUAAAGGCUCACCAAGCCGACGAUCUGUAGCUGGUCUGAGAGGACGGCCAGCCACACUGGGACUGAGACAGGGCCCAGACUCCUACGGGAGGCAGCAGUGGGGAAUUUUGGACAAUGGGCGAAAGCCUGAUCCAGCCAUGCCGCGUGCAGGAUGAAGGCCUUCGGGUUGUAAACUGCUUUUGUACGGAACGAAAAGGUUUGGCCUAAUAAGCUGAGCUCAUGACGGUACCGUAAGAAUAAGCACCGGCUAACUACGUGCCAGCCGCCGCAGUAA
rnacentral:rRNA from 1 species